rnacentral:rRNA from 1 species
AUUGAACGCUGGCGGCAGGCCUAACACAUGCAAGUCGAACGGUAACAGGAAGAAGCUUGCUUCUUUGCUGACGAGUGGCGGACGGGUGAGUAAUGUCUGGGAAACUGGCCUUGAUGGAGGGGGAUAACUACUGGAAACGGUAGCUAAUACCGCAUAACGUCGCNAAGACCAAAGAGGGGGACCUUCGGGCCUCUUGCCAUCGGAUGUGCCCAGAUGGGAUUAGCUAGUAGGUGGGGUAACGGCUCACCUAGGCGACGAUCCCUAGCUGGUCUGAGAGGAUGACCAGCCACACUGGAACUGAGACACGGUCCAGACUCCUACGGGAGGCAGCAGUGGGGAAUAUUGCACAAUGGGCGCAAGCCUGAUGCAGCCAUGCCGCGUGUAUGAAGAAGGCCUUCGGGUUGUAAAGUACUUUCAGCGGGGAGGA